AACCGCAUCAGGUCUCCAAGG
rnacentral:snRNA from 1 species